rnacentral:rRNA from 1 species
GACGAACGCUGGCGGCGUGCUUAACACAUGCAAGUCGAACGGAAAGGCCCUGCUUUUGUGGGGUGCUCGAGUGGCGAACGGGUGUGUAACACGUGAGUAACCUGCCCUUGACUUUGGGAUAACUUCAGGAAACUGGGGCUAAUACCGGAUAGGAGCUCCUGCUGCAUGGUGGGGGUUGGAAAGUUUCGGCGGUUGGGGAUGGACUCGCGGCUUAUCAGCUUGUUGGUGGGGUAGUGGCUUACCAAGGCUUUGACGGGUAGCCGGCCUGAGAGGGUGACCGGCCACAUUGGGACUGAGAUACGGCCCAGACUCCUACGGGAGGCAGCAGUGGGGAAUAUUGCACAAUGGGCGGAGGCCUGAUGCAGCAACGCCGCGUGCGGGAUGACGGCCUUCGGGUUGUAAACCGCUUUCGCCUGUGACGAAGCGUGAGUGACGGUAAUGGGUAAAGAAGCACCGGCUAACUACGUG